rnacentral:rRNA from 1 species
UACGAAGGGUGCAAGCGUUACUCGGAAUUACUGGGCGUAAAGCGUGCGUAGGUGGUUUGUUAAGUCUGUUGUGAAAGCCCCGGGCUCAACCUGGGAAUGGCAAUGGAUACUGGCAGGCUAGAGUGCGGUAGAGGGUAGUGGAAUUCCCGGUGUAGCGGUGAAAUGCGUAGAGAUCGGGAGGAACACCGGUGGCGAAGGCGGGACUCUGGGCCGAUACUGACGCUGAGGAGCGAAAGCGUGGGGAGCAAACAGG